rnacentral:pre_miRNA from 1 species
UGGCUAAAUUAUUGUAUUCGACUGUAUUUACGGCGUGAAACAGGGGAUUACACUGUUUUUAAAUGGGAAGUAAAUCAAUUAAUAUAAUAAACUCCU